ACACUUACCUGGCAGGGGGACCACAGGUGAGGCUCAUCUACUGCACUCCAGGUGUACUGACCCCCUGCAAUCUCCCAAUGCAGGAAACUUGACUACAUAAUCUGUGGUAGUGGGGGACUGUGUUUGUGUACCCGCUCCCG